rnacentral:rRNA from 1 species
UACAGAGGGUGCGAGCGUUAAUCGGAAUUACUGGGCGUAAAGCGCGCGUAGGCGGCUUUGCAAGUCGAUUGUGAAAUCCCCAGGCUUAACCUGGGAACUGCAUUCGAGACUGCAUAGCUAGAGUAUGGGAGAGGGAAGUGGAAUUUCAGGUGUAGCGGUGAAAUGCGCAGAUAUCAGGAGGAACACCGGUGGCGAAGGCGGGUCUCUGGGCCGAUACUGACGCUGAGGAGCGAAAGCGUGGGGAGCGAACAGG